GACGAACGCUGGCGGCAGGCUUAACACAUGCAAGUCGCACGGGCAGCAAUGUCAGUGGCGGACGGGUGAGUACCGCGUAGGAAUGUGUCCAGAGGUGGGGGACAACCUUGGGAAACUGAGGCUAAUACCGCAUAUGAGCUGAGGCUCAAAGCAGCGAUGCGCCUUUGGAGUAGCCUGCGUCCGAUUAGCUAGUUGGUGGGGUAAAGGCCUACCAAGGCGACGAUCGGUAGCUGGUCUGAGAGGACGACCAGCCACACUGGGACUGAGACACGGCCCAGACUCCUACGGGAGGCAGCAGUGGGGAAUAUUGGACAAUGGGCGCAAGCCUGAUCCAGCAAUGCCGCGUGUGUGAAGAAGGUCUUCGGAUCGUAAAGCACUUUCGACGGGGACGAUGAUGACGGUACCCGUAGAAGAAGCCCCGGCUAACUUCGUGCCAGCAGCCGCGGUAA
rnacentral:rRNA from 1 species